rnacentral:rRNA from 1 species
ACAACAACCACCCAUCAAUACCCCCAAAAGCACACCCCAAAAUAAAUAAACCAUUCUUCCCCCUGAGUAUAGGCGAUAGAAAAGGGCCUCGGAGCAAUAGAAAUAGUACCGCAAGGGAA